CGUAGGCGGCUCGCUAAGUCGGGUGUGAAAACUCUGGGCUCAACCCAGAGCCUGCAUUCGAAACUGACGAGCUAGAGUUCUGGAGGGGAAAGCGGAAUUCCUGGUGUAGCGGUGAAAUGCGUAGAUAUCAGGAGGAACACCGGUGGCGAAGGCGGCUUUCUGGACAGAAACUGACGCUGAGGCGCGAAAGCUAGGGGAGCAAAC
rnacentral:rRNA from 1 species